rnacentral:rRNA from 1 species
CCUACGGGGGGCAGCAGUGGGGAAUAUUGGACAAUGGGGGGAACCCUGAUCCAGCCAUGCCGCGUGUGUGAAGAAGGCCCUCGGGUUGUAAAGCACUUUCAGUGAGGAAGAACGCCUGGUGGUUAAUACCCAUCAGGAAAGACAUCACUCACAGAAGAAGCACCGGCUAACUCCGUGCCAGCAGCCGCGGUAAUACGGAGGGUGCGAGCGUUAAUCGGAAUUACUGGGCGUAAAGCGCGCGUAGGUGGCUUGAUAAGCCGGUUGUGAAAGCCCCGGGCUCAACCUGGGAACGGCAUCCGGAACUGUCAAGCUAGAGUGCAGGAGAGGAAGGUAGAAUUCCCGGAGUAGCGGUGAAAUGCGUAGAGAUCGGGAGGAAUACCAGUGGCGAAGGCGGCCUUCUGGACUGACACUGACACUGAGGUGCGAAAGCGUGGGUAGCAAACAGGAUUAGAUACCCUUGUAGUC